rnacentral:rRNA from 1 species
AAAAAUUUUCUCGGGUAGAGUUAAUAAACUAAUAAAACGUUGUGAUAAAUUAGUCGUUUUCUUUUAUAUCUGUUUAUUAUCAUAGUUUCCUCUUUAUCUAUAAGGCUGGGAGGUCUUAUAGACGGAUAUAUGCUUUGUUUAGUUUUCAUUCAAACAGGGUUAAAGAUCCCCUCUUUUAGGAGAUUUGUUAUAAUUUGUUUUAUAUUUAUUAAGCAUUAUUUUAAAUGAUAAUUGUAUUUAAUUUUUUGUUUUAUGAAUAAUACAAUAAGUAAUAAUAGAACAUGCAUUGUUUCUAAAUUGUAUUCCGUCUGUUUAUUAAAAACAUUUCUAUAAAUAAAUUUUUAUAGUAGGGCCUGCUCAAUGUUUAAUUAUCAAUGGCCGCAGUAUUUUGACUGUGCGAAGGUAGCAUAAUUAAUUGCCCUUUAAUUGGGGGCUUGUUUGAAUGGUUUGACGAGGUUAUUAUUAACAUUGCAUUUUUAUUUGAAAUUAAUUUUGAGGGCACAGAAUCCUCUGAGUUUAAUUAGACGGAAAGACCCCGGGAUCUUUAGUUUUGCCUGGGGCAGGUUAUAUCAUUUUAUAUUUUUAUAUUGUGAUCUUGUAUUUAGGAUUAAUGGUUUAAGUUACCCCGGGGAUAACAGUGUAAUAAUUUAAUAGAGAUCAUAUCGACUAAAUUGUUUGCCACCUCGAUGUUGACUUAGGUAUAUAGCAGGGCGCAGUUGUUUUGUUAUGUGGUCUGUU